CUGUCCCGGGGGACCGGGUUGCGGCAGCCGCGGUACAGGGCGAGACUGGGCAGGGGCUGGCGGCUUGGGGUUCGGCUGCAAGGAGACCCACAGCAGGUGGAAAGUUGGGAAGGGGAGCGGGCUGGGGCCGAGAGCGGCUCGGCAGGAAUUCUGGCCCUUGCUCCCUCCCCCAGGUCACCAGACUCUCUGGCUGUGUCUAGACUCCAGCCUCCAGCCGACGGUUUCUAAUAAAGCCACGUGCACGGAAGAUCUGAAAGCAGGGAGACCACCCGACGUUUCCUAGGGGUUGCAAGAUGCACAGUCCCCUGCGUAUUUGGGGGUGGCACAGCUGACAGUGGUUCCCGUCUUCCCCCCAACCCCACCCCCCUACUCCCCUCUCCUGGGCGUGGAUGGCUUUGGGAAGCGUCCACUCCAAGCGGCUCCAGCAACACUGAAUGGAUGUGUAGUAUGGUUAGCAGCUGGAGACGGAGCAAACGAUGCAAUGAAAAGAAGUCACAUUCACGGCGUAUUUGCUGGCAGGCACUGUGCGAAAUGCCUUGUAUGCAGCCUCUGUGAUUCUCUUCACGACUCGGUGAGCUGGAUGAGCAAGAAGCACUGGCGGGAAGGAGUUUGCAACAGUAAAGGCUGGAGGGCUGCCGGCACAGUGCAUUAGCUGGCACUGAGUCAUACCAACUAUAAAGAUUCCUGUUGGAAAUGUGCAGCAUCACAUCACAAAAGAAAAAGAAACCAGAAAUAAAUGAAAACUCCGACAUGGUUCCUGAUUUUGU
rnacentral:lncRNA from 1 species